GACGAACGCUGGCGGCGUGCUUAACACAUGCAAGUCGAACGGAAAGGCCCUGCUUUUGUGGUGUGCUCGGGUGUCGAACGGGUGAGUAACACUUGAGUAACCUGCCCUUGACUUUGGGAUAACUUCAGGAAACUGGGGCUAAUACCGGAUAGGAGCUCCUGCUGCAUGGUGGGGGUUGGAAAGUUUCGGCGGUUGGGGAUGGACGCGCGGCUUAUCAGCUUGUGGGUGGGGUAGUGGCUUACCAAGGCGUUGACGGGUAGCCGGCCUGAGAGGGUGACCGGCCACAUUGGGACUGAGAUACGGCCCAGACGCCUACGGGAGGCAGCAGUGGGGAAUAUUGCACAAUGGGCGGAAGCCUGAUGCAGCAACGCCGCGUGCGGGAUGACGGCCUUCGGGUUGUAAACCGCUUUCGCCUGUGACGAAGCGUGAGUGACGGUAAUGGGUAAAGAAGCCCCGGCUAACUACGUG
rnacentral:rRNA from 1 species